GCAUAUCAAUAAGCGGAGGAAAAGAAACCAACAGGGAUUGCCUUAGUAGCGGCGAGUGAAGCGGCAAGAGCUCAAAUUUGAAAUCUGGUACCUUCGGUGCCCGAGUUGUAAUUUGAAGAAAGCUGUCUUGGAGUUGGCCUUUGUCUAUGUUCCUUGGAACAGGACGUCACAGAGGGUGAGAAUCCCGUGCGAUGAGGUGUCCAAUUCUUUAUAAGACGUUUUCGAAGAGUCGAGUUGUUUGGGAAUGCAGCUCAAAGUGGGUGGUAAAUUCCAUCUAAAGCUAAAUAUUGGCGAGAGACCGAUAGCGAACAAGUACUGUGAAGGAAAGAUGAAAAGAACUUUGAAAAGAGAGUGAAAAAGUACGUGAAAUUGUUGAAAGGGAAGGGUAUUCAAUCAGACUUGGUAUUUAGUUAUCAUUACUCCUUGUGGGUGGUGCUCUAGCUUUUUACUGGGCCAGCAUCAGUUUUGGUGGCAAGAUAAUGGCAGUUGAAUGUAGCUCAUUGAGUAUUAUAGCUUCUGCUGAUAUUGCCUACUGAGACUGAGGUCUGCGGCUUUUGCCUAGGAUGCUGGCGUAAUGAUUGAAUACCGCCCGUCUUGAAACACGGACC
rnacentral:rRNA from 1 species